UUUUUUAGUACUGAGUCUCUCUUCCAUUCUGAGUCUCUACUGAACUUUAUGACAAAUAAGAUAUAACACAUAGUGUCAUGGGAAAAAUUGUGCAGCCAAGGUAUUUUUUGGGAGUGUUUAUAGAUCAACACAUCACUACCCAAAAUCAUGAUAGCUUAAAGAAUGAACUGUUAUGAGGACUUUAUGACGAAGUCCCAGGAAGAGCUUAGCUGUUACAAGAACUGAGCUUGGAGAAGCAAAGCUUUGCAAUACUUUAAAUACUGAUCAUAACUCUACAACAUAACAAACCAUUUAUGAUAAGCCUCACCAGUUACUCAGCUUCAAAAAGCAAAACAUUAGAGAUUUCUCAAAGAUGUAAAGAGUGACUCUGUGAGAUGCCUUCAUCUGUGUCCUCUGCCUCUGAAUGUCUCUGCAAUGCCAGCUUAACAACAUGUGUCCAUGCUUUUGGCUGAUGGGCAAAUGACAAAAAGCUUUGACUUCAUCCAGAGACAUUUUAACUUUUUCUGAAUGUGGUCUAUUAAGAGGAUUUUGCUUAAAGUGGAGAACUGCACCAAUGUUUGUGUAACUGCUCUAAAGUCUUGCUUGCUGCCAACCUAUAGGAAACCAAGCUUCCUACUGGGUGUGGGUUUUCCUCUCCAUUUAUCCUAUGGAGCUUAACUUGAGGACUACAAUUGGUCAUGAGUCUUUUCUUACCUUUCUGUUCAAUUCUGUUAACAUAUCCCCUUUGGAUUUUGGUCAUGUGUUGCUGUAUAUGAUUUUCGUUUUAUCAAAUGUUUCCCUGACUGCAUUCAUUCUUGUCUUCAUUCUGUGUCCCUUUUGGUUUAUAAACAGUUUU
rnacentral:lncRNA from 7 species